ACUAUAACUGUUGAGUCAUCAUCAGGAAUUGAUUAUCAAUUAUAAUUCCUGAUGAUGACUCAACAGUAGUCGA